GGUGAGUACACGUGGGUAAUCUGCCCUGGAGUGGGGAAUAACACCGGGAAACCGGUGCUAAUACCGCAUACGAUAACGAGGUCUGCGGACUUUGUUAUGAAAGGAGCAAUUCGCUCCAGGAGGAGCCCGCGGCUGAUUAGCUAGUUGGUGAGGUAAUGGCUCACCAAGGCUACGAUCAGUAUCCGGUCUGAGAGGACGGUCGGACACACUGGAACUGAGACACGGUCCAGACUCCUACGGGAGGCAGCAGUGGGGAAUUUUUGGCAAUGGGGGCAACCCUGACCAAGCAACGCCGCGUGGGUGAUGAAGUCUCUUGGGACGUAAAACCCUUUCGACGGGGAAGAAAACCGCAAGGUUUGACGGUACCCGUAGAAGAAGCCCCGGCUAACUCCGUGCCAGCAGCCGCGGUAAUACGGGGGGGGCAAGCGUUGUUCGGAAUUACUGGGCGUAAAGGGCGCGUAGGCGGUGCUCUAAGUUAGAUGUGAAAACUCUGGGCUCAACCCAGAGCCUGCAUCUAAAACUGGAGUGCUAGAGUUCUGGAGGGGGUAGCGGAAUUCCUGGUGUAGCGGUGAAAUGCGUAGAUAUCAGGAGGAACACCGGUGGCGAAGGCGGCUACCUGGACAGAAACUGACGCUGAGGCGCGAAAGCUAGGGGAGCAAACAGGAUUAGAUACCCUGGUAGUCCACGCUGUAAACGUUGGGCGCUAGGUGUGGGGAGCAUUCCACGUUCUCCGUGCCGUAGCUAACGCAUUAAGCGCCCCGCCUGGGGAGUACGGCCGCAAGGCUAAAACUCAAAGGAAUUGACGGGGGCCCGCACAAGCGGCGGAGCAUGUGGAUUAAUUCGAUGCAACGCGAAGAACCUUACCUGGGCUUGACAUGCAUCAGAUUUCCCCAGAGAUGGGGCUUCCCUUGUGGUUGGUGUACAGGUGGUGCAUGGCUGUCGUCAGCUCGUGUCGUGAGAUGUUGGGUUAAGUCCCGCAACGAGCGCAACCCUCGUUCCAUGUUGCCAGCGCGUGAUGGCGGGGACUCAUGGGAGACUGCCGGGGUCAACUCGGAGGAAGGUGGGGAUGACGUCAAGUCAUCAUGCCCCUUAUGUCCAGGGCUUCACACAUGCUACAAUGGCUCAUACAGAGGGUUGCGAGACCGUGAGGUGGAGCGAAUCCCUUAAAGUGAGUCUCAGUUCGGAUCGGGGUCUGCAACUCGACCCCGUGAAGUCGGAGUCGCUAGUAAUCGCAGAUCAGCAAUGCUGCGGUGAUACGUCUCCCGGGCAUUGCACACACCG
rnacentral:rRNA from 1 species